rnacentral:rRNA from 1 species
GAUGAACGCUAGCGGGAGGCCUAACACAUGCAAGCCGAGCGGUAGAGUCUCUUCGGAGACUUGAGAGCGGCGCACGGGUGCGGAACACGUGUGCAACCUGCCUUUAUCUGGGGGAUAGCCUUUCGAAAGGAAGAUUAAUACCCCAUAAUAUACUGGAUGGCAUCAUCUGGUAUUGAAAACUCCGGUGGAUAGAGAUGGGCACGCGCAAGAUUAGAUAGUUGGUGAGGUAACGGCUCACCAAGUCUACGAUCUUUAGGGGGCCUGAGAGGGUGAUCCCCCACACUGGUACUGAGACACGGACCAGACUCCUACGGGAGGCAGCAGUGAGGAAUAUAGGACAAUGGGUGAGAGCCUGAUCCAGCCAUCCCGCGUGAAGGACGACGGCCCUAUGGGUUGUAAACUUCUUUUGUAUAGGGAUAAACCUAGAUACGUGUAUCUAGCUGAAGGUACUAUACGAAUAAGCACCGGCUAACUCCGUGCCAGCAGCCGCGGUAAUACGGAGGGUGCAAGCGUUAUCCGGAUUUAUUGGGUUUAAAGGGUCCGUAGGCUGAUUUGUAAGUCAGUGGUGAAAUCUCACAGCUUAACUGUGAAACUGCCAUUGAUACUGCAAGUCUUGAGUGUUGUUGAAGUAGCUGGAAUAAGUAGUGUAGCGGUGAAAUGCAUAGAUAUUACUUAGAACACCAAUUGCGAAGGCAGGUUACUAAGCAACAACUGACGCUGAUGGACGAAAGCGUGGGGAGCGAACAGGAUUAGAUACCCUGGUAGUCCACGCCGUAAACGAUGCUAACUCGUUUUUGGGUUUUCGGAUUCAGAGACUAAGCGAAAGUGAUAAGUUAGCCACCUGGGGAGUACGAACGCAAGUUUGAAACUCAAAGGAAUUGACGGGGGCCCGCACAAGCGGUGGAUUAUGUGGUUUAAUUCGAUGAUACGCGAGGAACCUUACCAAGGCUUAAAUGGGAAAUGACAGGUUUAGAAAUAGACUUUUCUUCGGACAUUUUUCAAGGUGCUGCAUGGUUGUCGUCAGCUCGUGCCGUGAGGUGUUAGGUUAAGUCCUGCAACGAGCGCAACCCCUGUCACUAGUUGCCAUCAUUAAGUUGGGGACCCUAGUGAGACUGCCUACGCAAGUAGAGAGGAAGGUGGGGAUGACGUCAAAUCAUCACGGCCCUUACGCCUUGGGCCACACACGUAAUACAAUGGCCGGUACAGAGGGCAGCUACACAGUGAUGUGAUGCAAAUCUCGAAAGCCGGUCUCAGUUCGGAUUGGAGUCUGCAACUCGACUCUAUGAAGCUGGAAUCGCUAGUAAUCGCGCAUCAGCCAUGGCGCGGUGAAUACGUUCCCGGGCCU